rnacentral:rRNA from 1 species
AGCGAACGCUGGCGGCAGGCCUAACACAUGCAAGUCGAACGAACCUUUCGGGGUUAGUGGCGGACGGGUGAGUAACACGUGGGAACGUGCCUUUAGGUUCGGAAUAACUCAGGGAAACUUGUGCUAAUACCGAAUGUGCCCUUCGGGGGAAAGAUUAAUCGCCUUUAGAGCGGCCCGCGUCUGAUUAGCUAGUUGGUUGAGGUAAUGGCUCACCAAGGCGACGAUCAGUAGCUGGUCUGAGAGGAUGAUCAGCCACAUUGGGACUGAGACACGGCCCAAACUCCUACGGGAGGCAGCAGUGGGGAAUCUUACGCAAUGGGCGAAAGCCUGACGCAGCCAUGCCGCGUGAAUGAUGAAGGUCUUAGGAUUGUAAAAUUCUUUCACCGGGGACGAUAAUGACGGUACCCGGAGAAGAAGCCCCGGCUAACUUCGUG